rnacentral:piRNA from 1 species
UGAACAGGUAGAUAAGAGACCAGGAG